CUUGACUUCUGCCAGACAGAUACAAGCUGAGACCAAAAAAAUUGUGACAGUCAUCACCAUCAUCAUGAAGGUUUGGAUUGUGUGUGUGCUGCUGUGUGCUGCCUUUACACUGAGGACUGCCACAGCUGCAGCCACUGAGACUGGAACUGAGCAAGAACAGGAACUUCCAGAGGAAACUACUGAACUGGCUGUAGAGGAGUUGGUUGAUGCAGUUGAGGAUAAAGAGGAAGCUCUCAAAGCAGAUGCUGCUGAAGGUAA